rnacentral:tRNA from 12 species
GGGCAAUUAGCUCAGUUGGUAGAGCGUUCGCUUUGCAUGCGAAAGGUCGUGAUUUCGAUUAUCACAUUGUCCA